GUGAUUUCGUCAGCCGGAUGGAGGGAUCGAAGCGCUUGGUUACCCUGUUCGGGAACGGUAAAUAUGAUCCAAAAUGUUAUUCAGAUCUGUCAAUCACCUCGUGUACCUAGAUGCCCCUCCCAGGCAAACUGCCUGGUGUACUUGUCGAGGAUGGGUCUCAAAGGGAACCAUUUGAUACUUGAUCUUGGUCAUGACACUUUUGACAUGGCGGCCUGAAUGAUCUGUGGAACAGGAUGGGUCUCAAAGGGAACCAUUUGAUACUUGAUCUUGGUCAUGACACUUUUGACAUGGCGGCCUGAAUGAUCUGUGGAACAGGAUGGGUCUCAAAGGGAACCAUUUGAUACUUGAUCUUGGUCAUGACACUUUUGACAUGGCGGCCUGAAUGAUCUGUGGAACAGGAUGGGUCUCAAAGGGAACCAUUUGAUACUUGAUCUUGGUCAUGACACUUUUGACAUGGCGGCCUGAAUGAUCUGUGGAACAGGAUGGAUCUCAAAAGGGAACCGUUUGAUACUUGAUCUUGGUCAUGACACUUGACAUGGCGGGCUGAAUGAUCUGUGGAACAGGAUGGAUCUGAAAGAGAACCCUUUGAUACUUGAUCUUGGUGACGAUACUGCAUCGAUUUAAAUGGUGUGCGAUGAUCUGUGGAGCAGGGUGGAUUUGAGUGGAUGAUGUCACUCACCGUUGUGGCAUUUUCAGCGUGGCCCCCUGGAUGACAAGUCACUACAAGGAUUGAGACAAUGGCGCACUGAGUUGAUCUUGUCUGCCACCCCGUGGAUCCAGAUGCCUUACCCAGACCAGCUGCCUAGUGUUCUCAUUUAGAUCCAGAUACUGUACCCAGACCAGCUGCCUGGCACCGAAGUGUUCUCAUUUAGGUGAAGAGUACAUCACAUUCACGCCUCUACAUCGACCAGAGCCAGGGUGAAUGUUGGGAAUUAAGCAGGAGGAGGUCACCCAGCCAUCUCUUUUCUGGGGUAUUCAAGACAUAACCAACUGAGAGUGGGCCCAGGAAACUUGGAGGGAUUUUUCAGCCUGAUUAACAUGACCCUGGCCAACAAAAGGAUCUCGUAGAAUAAAUGGAUGGAAUAUUUUUUUAAACUUUUGCUGUAUUUAUCAUUAAAAUUUAAUCAGUGUACUGA